rnacentral:rRNA from 1 species
GACGAACGCUGGCGGCGUGCUUAACACAUGCAAGUCGAACGAUGAAGCCGGAGCUUGCUCUGGUGAAUUAGUGGCGAACGGGUGAGUAACACGUGAGUAACCUGCCCUUGACUCUGGGAUAACUGCGGGAAACUGUAGCUAAUACCGGAUACGACCCUCGGAGGCAUCUCCUGGGGGUGGAAAGAAUUUCGGUCAAGGAUGGACUCGCGGCCUAUCAGCUAGUUGGUGAGGUAAAGGCUCACCAAGGCGACGACGGGUAGCCGGCCUGGGAGGGUGACCUGCCACACUGGGACUGAGACACGGCCCAGACUCCUACGGGAGGCAGCAGUGGGGAAUAUUGCACAAUGGGCGCAAGCCUGAUGCAGUAACGCCGCGUGAGGGAUGACGGCCUUCGGGUUGUAAACCUCUUUUAGCAGGGAAGAAGCGAAAGUGACGGUACCUGCAGAAAAAGCACCGGCUAACUACGUGCCAGCAGCCGCCGUAA